rnacentral:rRNA from 1 species
AUUGAACGCUGGCGGCGUGCUUAACACAUGCAAGUCGAGCGGCAGCGCGGGAGCAAUCCUGGCGGCGAGCGGCGAACGGGUGAGUAAUGCUUCGGAAUCUGCCCUUCAGUGGGGAAUAACCAGUCGAAAGACUGGCUAAUACCGCAUACGAACUGAGGUUGAAAGCAGGGGAUCGCAAGACCUUGCGCUGAUGGAUGAGCCGAAGUCGGAUUAGCUAGUUGGUAGGGUAACGGCCUACCAAGGCGACGAUCCGUAGCUGGUCUGAGAGGACGACCAGCCACACUGGGACUGAGACACGGCCCAGACUCCUACGGGAGGCAGCAGUGGGGAAUAUUGGACAAUGGGGGCAACCCUGAUCCAGCGACGCCGCGUGUGUGAAGAAGGCCUGCGGGUUGUAAAGCACUUUUAGUGGGGAGGAAGGUCUGCGACCUAACACGUCGUGGAAUUGACUUAACCCACAGAAAAAGCACCGGCUAACUCUGUG